UACGGAGGGUGCAAGCGUUAAUCGGAAUUACUGGGCGUAAAGGGUGCGUAGGUGGUAUUUUAAGUUAUCUGUGAAAUUCCUGGGCUUAACCUGGGAAGGCCAGAUAAGACUGGAAGACUUGAGUAUAGGAGAGGGCAGUGGAAUUUCCGGUGUAGCGGUGAAAUGCGUAGAGAUCGGAAGGAACACCAGUGGCGAAGGCGACUGCCUGGCCUGAUACUGACACUGAGGCACGAAAGCGUGGGUAGCAAACAGG
rnacentral:rRNA from 1 species